AAUAUCCUUACCACCCUAAAAUCUUCCACAGAGGGUGAAAACGAAAGGAAGCAUUGCCAGCCUGGAAGAAACUAGUUUCCUAUCAAACACAUUGAAACAUCUCCUACCUACUGUUGGAUUUAAUAAACUUUACAUUUCUGGAAAGAGCUCAUCAACAAAUUCAGCCUUUUUGACCUGGUUUGUGUUCUUAGGGAAGGGAGCAGGAAGAGUAGCUGAUUUGAGCUAUCCAAAGAUUCUGCACGUCUGCAGCAGUGAAGAUCCACAAUUCCAGCCAAGCAAAUCUCCUGGGAGCAGCGAGAGCCUCUGAAGAAGCAAUAUUUAGAUGGGAAACUUAUGUCCUCCAAGCUGGCAAGCUGCAACAGUGACACAGAUUUUUUUUUUCUUGUCGCUGCAAAACUCUCCCUGUAAAAGAUGUCCCUGAGGAUUUGAAGAACAGUGAUUUGAAGUGAUUGCAUUGGGUAAGAACAUUACACAAUGCAAAUACAAUUGGACGCGAGCAUUUAAUUUUUAAAAAACACUGCUAUGGGAGAGACUUUCACCCAGUGAAGACAACAGUUCAGCUUCCCUCACCAGCCUGGCUCUGGGUUUCCCCGAGGACAGAGAAGGAAAGCAGGGCUGGUUUCAGUCCAGAGAGGUUUUGUCCAGUGGUGUGGAUGGGGAUUGCUCCAAACUAUCCUCCUCAGUCCUCCAUUGGGGUUUUGCCAUCCUGGGGGGCAGCAGAUGUGGACUGUGCCUGUACUUCUCACCACAUGGAGUAUAAACAAGCCCUGGGUGCUGGCUUUCCAGCAAUGAGUGCAUCAGGCUCAGGGACGAAUGGUAAAGGUAAUUAGUUGUCACCCUCAGGUGGGAUUUUUAUUGCUCCAUUUGGGUUCUUGUGGAGUGAGAGGAAUAAAAGGAGAGGGUUUAAAGUGAUGACUGCAUAAUAAACAGCAGCAACCUUGUUAAUGUGCUGAGUGCCUACAAACAGCUGCUAGUCAAACACCCAUAAAGGUUGGCUUUGAUGAUGCACAUAACCUUAUGCCUUCCUGCAGAUGGCUUAACUUCCAUCAGCUCCUUGCCCUUUCCUAUGCAGGCACUGAAAAUUCAGGCUUUGGAGCAUGGAAAGCACAAAUCCAAGGCAGCCAGAGGGGGUCCCACAGGAUCCCCAAAGGUUCUGCUGGGUACUCCUUUGGAUGUCUUUGAGAAAACUUUUUCCUCUGUGAAGACAAGGCUCCCAAAAGCAACAAAGUGGGGAAAGAUCUUUCUGGGACAUCAGUAGGUCUAAAUCCAGGGAUUCAGAUUUUGCCCUCACUUUGGUAUCACAAAUGAGAGCUGGAUCCCAACAAGUCUUAACCCCACCAAGCCAGCACCCAUUUCUGUACACCACAGACCUCCCUCCACCCAUCAAAACCUUCCAUGAUCAGUGCGACUCUGACCAUCUGAGCAUUUCCCAACUAUUUACAUAGAGAGAAAUAAGCAUUGCAGUUAUUCUUUCUGACUUCCCAAGCUACAGGAAACAAGGAACCAAGACAGAGAGUGGGGAUAGACAUUCCUGCUUCCCCCUGUGACUCUGUAGGCUGUCAGCAGCCUUGGGAGGACACUAACAGGAGGAGAAAGGCAGAUCCUGGUGGGUCCCCACAGGAAGUAAGCCCGGGAAGUACAAGGAUUAUUUGCAGCAGCUCUUGUUUGGGUUUGAAAGGGAGCACUGAAGGCAUUGCAAAGUGUUACGGCAAAGUGAGGACACUGAAGCACUUCUCGAAACACCCCUGUGGACCUAUUAAUUGCAAUAUUGGAUCUUUCAUCUUUUCCAGCAGGUUCCCAGCAAUAGGCACGCAGCCAGCUUGGCUGGGGUUUUGUUUAUUUUCCAGCUAAUGUAGAAGCAGAAUCAAUUCCAGCUAACAAAGCUGGGAAUAUCGGGAAAAGAAUGUCAUCCAAUUCCCAUGGCUAAUUUGUGGCAUACGCCUGGAAGAUAUUUACUGGUAGCAGGGCAAUUAGGGCAGUGAUAUGUCAGGGGACCAGGAAUGCCUCCCAGAAGUGGGUGUGAAUCGUGGGAAGCCCAUCAUCAGAAAAGCAAGAGAAGCACCUUUGCUGUGCUGAUUACCACUAUCUAGAUGGGAAAAUUGUGCUUGGGAUUGCAGCAGCACACAUAAAACCCAGCUGCAAAUACUCCCUGCAGCAGUUCUCCCCCCAGGAUGGUAAGAGGCAGCUGAGUGGUGCUCAUCUGGCAUCGCACUGCAAUAAGUGUGAAGUCUGUCUGCCCAAACUGAGCAACCAGAGCUUGUUACCAACCCCAUUAAGCUUUAAGUGGCACUUUAGCCUUGCUCCUUGCUCACUCGUGCUGGGCUUGGGUUAUUUAACACAUGGGCUCCGGCCACAUGGUCCAACUGGAGCAUAAACUGCCAGAAACCCAGACACUUGUUCCCUUUGCCUCUGCCAGUUUUCCCUCACCUUCAUCAGGACAGAGUUGCCAAGAGCAUUAUGUGAGUUCUUGCCAGGAGCAUCUGUGAAUUAUGGAUAUCAAUACCCAGUGACUCUCUAUAGGUCACACUUUUUUGGCCCCCCCAACACAGCAAGUGAGCCAACAUGCAGUGCUGAUCUGGGGCUGCCCAGCACACCUGCUAUAUCCGUGGGGGAUAUUGAAUGGAUAAAAUGUUCACAGCAUUUGCCUUUUCCAGUGACUUGAAUGGGGUUUCUCUAGAUGCCACCCUUUGGGUUCUGCAGGUCACUUCUUGCCAUGCUCAAGCCCUUUGCAUUUAUCU